rnacentral:lncRNA from 1 species
UCAGGGUCCUCUCCUGCAAUUACCUCAGACUCCACGAACGGCCCGAUAUCUACGCGAGUGCAAACAUACAUCCACAUUCUUGAAACGGAAGGAAACAAUACACCAUACAACAAUGUAGAUCAAAUAAAUAUGCACGCGACAUAGAAUUCGCAUAUAUGACUACGCGAGAACGGAACUGAGACGACUGACGCUACGGUCGAGGGAUAUCACGUUUACGGCAAACAAGUAUAACUAUAACCUUUAAUUCGACAUUGUUAAAUAUAAAUUAUAUCUAAUAUUUAGUUUCGCUUAACCUACUACACUAGCAGCUGUCAGUCAAACCGGUAAUUUAAUUAAAGCGAGAGAUUCUAAGCGGGGCAAAUUUAUGACGCGCGAAACAACACGACAGCGUGCAAACGACGUACGACAUAGCACGCUGACGACACACGAAACAAUAUGUGCGACCAGCACGAAUGACGCGCGAAUCAGCACGCGACCCCGAGCACAUCACACACGAAUAGUGCGCAUACAGUGCUGCGACGCAUGAUAAUCGCUAACAAAUAACGCAAUUACACUAAACACGUAUUGUUAGAACAUUAGUUCGGCAUAAUUAUAUUGAUUGACAUUUAUCAACUGUAAACUAAAAAAAAUACUAUUUAGUUUUGACUAAAUUACUAUUUUAAUAGUGAACGAUUAAAUGAAUAAUAAAUUAAAUGACCUGAGUGAUUAUAAGUGAACAAUUUAAUAUUGCGCGCGACACGUGACGAUGCUAGAAAACAGCGCGCGGACGACGCGCAGUAACGCGUGCGAACAGCACGCGCGACACGCGCGAACGAUGCGCGACGAAGGGGACGAACAACAUGUGUGAUAUGCGCGACCGACGCGCGACAACAUGUGCGACAAUAUGAGAAACAGUGUGACGCGCGAAAGGCACGUGAUUUAGCGCGCGGCAACACGUGAGAUUCGCUAACAGAUAUCGUGUUUAUACUAAACAAAUAUUAAAUGAAAAACGUUUAAGUUGGUAUUAAUCAAGUUAACAUUUAUAUUUAUAAAGCGCAAGUUAAAACUAUAAACUAGUUUUAAUUAGAAGGUCAACUAAUUAAUUAAUUAAAACUUAUGUCGCGAUAAAAUAAUAUUUUCAACUUAUUGAUGGCAUUAUUAUUAAGCUAAUGCUAUUGAAAAGGGUUGAAACAGAUUUGUAACAUAAAAGAUACUGAAUAAUAAUAAAAGAUACUGAAUAAUAACAACUCACGGAUUUUCGCAACGAGAUUUUAUUUGGCUGAAUAAUAGGCCACACAAAGGGCUACGUGACCGUAGGUGUAGAAGAUUGAGAUGAGGGGCUGUGGUUUUGCAGAUCGUGAAUGCGGCAUGCAUGCAUGGCAAACUAGAGUGGAGGUCGUGUGUGUGCAUGCUUGCAAGAGGGCCCACAAGGCUGUUUUCCAAUUUUCCUACAUGCAGAUCGGACGUGGUGGGGGGGGGGGGCAAGCCUGCAGGUGGGGUUCCCAACGGUUCUCUUUUCCUUGACCGCAUGCAUGGCUGAAACUGCAUCGGCGUUUUUUCUGCUACCUUAGAGACACACGCGAUGCAACAUAGGGAGGACGGGGAUCGUCGGGCAGGGUGGAGACUCAUCGGCGGCGCGGCUGCCUAGGCAUGCAGCGGCAACGUUGGCUGGGGCACAACACGACGGUGGUAGCGGCUUGCCUGGCACAGGCUACAGCAGCCAGGGACGGACGCAGGCUGCAAUGGCCAGGGAGGGACACGCGGUCUCUCGCCGGAGCGGCCAGAGCGGCUCGCCGACGGCGGUGCUCAGCCAGGGAGCGGGCCACGGCGGCAUGCAUGCACAACAACUUAGCAGGAAGGGGAUGCGAGACCUUACCAGUCGGGGUGGCGUCGGCGAUGUGUUGCGCACAGUGUUCCAGCGAAGCACGUCUAUGGCGGAGCUCCAGACUUCUACCCGUGUCUCCACUAGCAGCUUCAAGGGAACCCCCUUCCUUGACACCACGAGGAGAUACGGAAGUGAGAGUCUUGCCUUGCGUAUGGGAGAGAAUGAGAAUAUGGCGGAUGGGGUGGUUUUGAUCGGCCAGGACAGGACUGGGAGUUGCAGGAGGUAGUGAUACGGGAAGAGAAGUUGAGGGUUGUGCG